rnacentral:lncRNA from 1 species
UAUCGAAUGCUUUAGGAUAACUGGAGACGUUGUACAUGUAGGAAUUUUUGUGGCAAAAAAACCAUCUGCGACUAAAUCAGUUAAAUGCGCGCUACAGGGAGCUUGUUCGUUCAAAUUAGUGUAUACAGAAAUCUGGCAUGAACUCGUUACUACUCAAUGCUGCGGUUCGUUGGAUAGCCAGAGACCUUUACUGCCUUUGCACCAAAGAAAUUGCUGAGAUGAACACGCAGAAAACCUCACCACAAACCACCGAGGCGCAAGCCUUCACCAUGGAUAAAUCAGUUUCUUUUCUUAACGUUCGUAUUUCUCAAGAAGAGGAGAUCGGAGUGCGGCGGUAAAGCGAAUGCUUCAGUCCACUGGCCGUUUUCACAACAGAACAUUUGAAUAAACUGGAAUUUUAUGCCAAACUGGAAGGAGAGCCUUGCCUCGCUGAUGCGUAAAGGAACAGUCAGUGGAUUAACGCCGCGAAUUCUUAUAAUUCAGAUUAGUGAAAACAAAAUAUGCUGAUUUGUUGGGCCGGAAAGAUAUAAUUAAACGCUUUAUUGAAUAUAAGUUAUGGAAACCUUACUCUUCUUUUGAUACCUUAUCAUUCCCUAUUCUAAGUGUUAAAGCAAUUUCUAUAGGCGGGCGACAAUAGCUAUAUUUAAAAAUAAAUUAAUCAAAGAUUUAGAAAAACACUCGUGUUCUGUUUGUUAAACAAAAGAACACGAGUCAAUGGCGUUCUGCUUCACCAAAUUUUAUCUCGGAAAAAAUGAUACCUGAAUCUUCGAUUAUUUACCUAUUUAUUUCAGUCAUUUUCUUCUGCUUCGCAAAGCUUCCUUCAUCGCUAAGGAUAUCACGGAAUACUUGUGCGGGAACAAAAAAUUGGACAAGCGAAGCAAUUAGAAGCCGAGAAAAAUUGAAUAAUGUAAAAGAUUGAAACCACUUUCAAAUGAAGGAGUUGAAAAGUCAGCCCUACUUUUUAUAAGAUCCAUAAUUGUAACGAAACUAUCAGAAGUUUAAACCCGUUCUCGUUGUCAACCACGUUAAUUGCUUUAAAAGAACUUUAUCGCGACUGUUUGCAAACAAGCGCUUUGGGCUAUUUACACCGCGUGAAAUAGACACCUGAACAGAGCAGUGUCUUACAAAGAGAGAGACCUGUUUGGCGCUACCCCGGAGUCAUGCAACAAUUAGCAACAGAGUGAGCAGAUAACGGCAAAAUGACCGGCAAAACGUCGCCGAGAUGACAAUUUCGUUACUGCCCCCCCCACCGAGGCAAGUGAGCUGUAACGAACCUCAUUGUUCGAUUGUUGUUCCUCCGUGGGAAUCAAACUUGUACUACAGCCAAAACAUUUUACGCAAAAGACAGCAGGUCGCAAAUUAGACAAUUUCUUCGUCGUCACCCACUGAGCUAAAGUGGCCGGUCUACGUGCCGAAUUGUUCUCCGCCCGUGAGAUAAGUCACUUGUUGCCCACCAACUGAGUCAGCUAAGUUGCUUUGCGGAUUUCCGACAAUAUGGUCUGAUACAUGGGGGGCCCCACGUUUUAAAAUUAAGCACGCUUCUAAAAUUUACAUUUCCUCGAGAAAACAUAGAAUAAGUAGAGCCCUUUAAAUAUUGAACAAAUACAUACUUUCGUCUAAAUAAAGUUCAAACAAGUAAGUUUCAUCGAACGAAUGCGAUACGCCCUAAUCGAACUCAAACUAGGUUCAAAUGUUUAUUAUUCCUAAUAUUUCUUUUGGUGAGUACACUGUGAUCAAUUGCUGAACUGAAAGCAAGGUGAACCACCUUUAAUCACGCAAAAUUAACAACAGCUACAAAUUUGUGUUGUAUAACUACAUAACUACAUUAUAACCACACUUUCAAAUUGCUAUAUCUUUGUCCCUUCACCCUUUCUAAAACACACGUAUCACCAUACCACACAGCCAUGCGAGUGAUGUUAAAAAACGUUUAAUUAAAAAAAAAACAGGGACUAUAAAUAAUAACAAAAAUAAAUAACAUCGCUUGAAAAUAUAACCAAACAUACGCAUAUUUCUCUUAGAAGGAGAUGAAAUCCAACCUUGGAUACAACUUUACUAGGGUUUAACCCUUAAACUGGCAUGAGUGACCAAGACAGAUUUUCUCCUUAAAGUACCAAGCAGGCAAGCCAUGAGAAUAAAGGAAAAUAUAAACGAGGGGAUUUUCAGUUGAUCCAAUACGAAUUCCCCAAACUUGCAUCAUAAGAAUUGUGUAGCAGACAGUAGUGAGAAUUACUAUGAAGAUCUUGAGAGCGAAAGGUUACAAGUGACUUUUUCCCUAGGCACCGACUCAUGAUGUGAUAGGCGGCUAUGCUCGAACAGGAACCGUAAGUCGAAAUCCAGACACGAGAAAGAACCUGCGAACGGCGG